rnacentral:rRNA from 1 species
CCUACGGGAGGCAGCAGUGGGGAAUAUUGGGCAAUGGGCGCAAGCCUGACCCAGCAACGCCGCGUGAAGGAAGAAGGCUUUCGGGUUGUAAACUUCUUUUCUCAGGGACGAAGCAAGUGACGGUACCUGAGGAAUAAGCCACCGCUAACUACGUGCCAGCAGCCGCGGUAAUACGUAAGUGGCAAGCGUUAUCCGGAUUUACUGGGUGUAAAGGGCGUGUAGGCGGGAAAGCAAGUCAGAUGUGAAAACCAUGGGCUCAACCUGUGGCCUGCAUUUGAAACUGUUUUUCUUGAGUACUGGAGAGGCAGACGGAAUGGCUAGUGUAGCGGGGAAAUGCGGAGAUAUUAGGAGGAACACCAGUGGCGAAGGCGGUCUGCUGGACCGGAACUGACGGUGAGGCGCGAAAGCGUGGGGAGCAAACAGGAUUAGAUACCCUAGUAGUC